UUUUCGGACCUAGCGGCGGACGGGUGAGUAAUGCGUAGGAAGCUGCCCGAUAGAGGGGGAUACCAGUUGGAAACGACUGUUAAUACCGCAUAAUGUCUACGGACCAAAGUGUGGGACCUUCGGGCCACAUGCUAUCGGAUGCGCCUACGUGGGAUUAGCUAGUUGGUGAGGUAAUGGCUCACCAAGGCGACGAUCUCUAGCUGGUUUGAGAGGAUGAUCAGCCACACUGGAACUGAGACACUGUCCAGACUCCUACGGGAGGCAGCAGUGGGGAAUAUUGGACAAUGGGCGCGAGCCUGAUCCAGCCAUGCCGCGUGUGUGAAGAAGGCCUUCGGGUUGUAAAGCACUUUCAGCGAGGAGGAAGGGAUGUAUGUUAAUAGCAUGCAUUUCUGACGUUACUCGCAGAAGAAGCACCGGCUAACUCUGUGCCAGCAGCCGCGGUAAUACAGAGGGUGCAAGCGUUAAUCGGAAUUACUGGGCGUAAAGCGCACGUAGGCGGUUGGUUAAGUUGGAUGUGAAAGCCCCGGGCUCAACCUGGGAAUUGCAUUCAAAACUGGCCAACUAGAGUAUGUGAGAGGGGGGUAGAAUUCCAAGUGUAGCGGUGAAAUGCGUAGAGAUUUGGAGGAAUACCAGUGGCGAAAGCGGCCCCCUGGCACAAUACUGACGCUGAGUGCGAAAGCGUGGGGAGCAA
rnacentral:rRNA from 1 species